GCCCGCUUAGCUCAGAGGUAGAGCACUCGCUUGAUAAGCGAUAGGUCGGAAGUUCAAAUCCUCCAGCAGGCA
rnacentral:tRNA from 1 species